rnacentral:rRNA from 1 species
CGUGGGUAGCAAACAGGAUUAGAUACCCUGGUAGUCCACGCCGUAAACGAUGAGCACUAGGUGUUGGGCCCGUUAGGGCUCAGUGCCGCAGUUAACGCAAUAAGUGCUCCGCCUGGGGAGUACGCUCGCAAGAGUAAAACUCAAAGGAAUUGACGGGGACCCGCACAAGCAGCGGAGCAUGUGGUUUAAUUCGAAGCAACGCGAAGAACCUUACCAGGGCUUGACAUUUAGGUGAAGCGGCGGAAACGUCGUGGCCGAAAGGAGCCUAAACAGGUGGUGCAUGGCUGUCGUCAGCUCGUGUCGUGAGAUGUUAGGUUAAGUCCUGCAACGAGCGCAACCCUCGUCGUAUGUUGCCAGCGGUUAGGCCGGGCACCCAUACGAGACCGCCGGCGUCAAGCCGGAGGAAGGUGGGGACGACGUCAAGUCAUCAUGCCCCUUAUGUCCUGGGCUACACACGUGCUACAAUGGCCGGCACAAUGGGCUGCCAACCCGCGAGGGUGAGCGAAUCCCUAAAGCCGGUCCCAGUUCGGAUUGGAGGCUGCAACCCGCCUCCAUGAAGUCGGAGUUGCUAGUAAUCGCGGAUCAGCACGCCGCGGUGAAUGCGUUCCCGGGCCUUGUACACACCGCCCGUCACACCACCCGAGUCGAUUGCACCCGAAGUCGUCGGCCUAACCUUUUAGGAGGGAGACGCCGAAGGUGUGGUUGGUAAGGGGGGUGAAGUCGUAACAAGGUAGCCGUACCGGAAGGUGCGGCUG